AUGGCAGCCGCGGGCAGGAUGCCCAUAGAGGGGCGGGGCUUCGCGGCCGUUGAACGGAGCCCGACACAGACAGAGAGAGACGCUCCUCCUUUCUUUUCUUCCCAACGCCCAGAAUCCACCAAUGGGAAUUCGCCUUUCUCCUUGACGUCAUCAGUCUCCGGGCAGAAUCUCCCCCUUCUGCCAUUAACGGCCAUUCCCGGGACCCGCCCAUGGGGAUCGGCCUCCGCUCCAGGAAGCGCCAGGCUGAAGCGGGGACGGGAGGAAGGAGCGGGACUCGCCUCUGGUUUGGCGGGUCCUGUCGGGGGAAGCAGCCUCCUCCGGCCUCCGCUAGACGAGACUCAGAACCCGGACCCUUCCCCCGGCAGAGAAGGCUGUCCUGCGGAAGGAGGGAGGCUGCAGGGUGGGAGUGGCAGAAGAGGCUCCAGGCUGAAGUGGAAAAGAACCUGCAGGUGCAGAAAGGUGAGGCGGACUUGGGAGUUGAAAAAGCCACCCUCGGCUUAUACUUGGGUGCUUUCCUGCCAGGACCCUCAUCUCUCCGCACAGCAACCCAGCUCUCCUUCCUCUUCUGCUCUCUUGUGCAGUGCUCACCUUCCUCUCUUCCUUUCUCGACGCAGUGCACACCUUCCUCUCCUCUCUUGAUGCAGUGCGCACCUUCCUUUUCUCCUCUCGACGCAGUGCGCACCUUCCUCUCUUCCUUUCUCAACACAGAGCGCACCUUCCUCUCCUCUCUUGAUGCAGUGCGCACCUUCCUUUUCUCCUCUCGACGCAGUGCGCACCUUCCUCUCUUCCUUUCUCAACACAGAGCGCACCUUCCUCUCCUCUCUCGGUGAAGUGUGCACCUUCCUUUUCUCCUCUCGACGCAGUGGGCACCUUCCUCUCUCGGUGCAGUGUGUACCUUCCUCUCCUCCUUUCUCGACGCAGUGUGCACCUUCCUCUCCUCUCUCGACGCAGUGCGCACCUUCCUCUCCUCUCUCGGUGCAUUGUGUACCUUCCUCUCCUCCUUUCUCGACACAGUGUGCACCUUCCUCUCCUCUCUUGACGCAGUGCGCACCUUCCUCCUCUCUCGAUGCAGUGCGCACCUUCCUUUCCUCCUCUUGACGCAGUACGUACAUUCCUCUCCUCUCUUGGUGCAGUGUGUACCUUCCUCUCCUCCUUUCUCGAUGCAGUGCGCACCUUCCUCUCCUCUCUUGACGCAGUGUGCACCUUCCUCUCCUCUCUCGACGCAGUGCGCACCUUCCUCUCCUCUCUCGGUGCAGUGUGUACCUUCCUCUCCUCCUUUCUCGACACAGUGUGCACCUUCCUCUUCUCUCUUGACGCAGUGCGCACCUUCCUCCUCUCUCGAUGCAGUGCGCACCUUCCUUUCCUCCUCUUGACGCAGUACGUACAUUCCUCUCCUCUCUUGGUGCAGUGUGUACCUUUCUCUCCUCCUUUCUCGACGCAAUGCGCACCUUCCUCUCCUCUCUCGAUGCAGUGCGCACGUUCCUCUCCUCUCUCGACGUAGUGCGCACCUUCCUCUCCUCUCUCGGUGAAGUGUGUACCUUCCUCUCCUCCUUUCUCGAUGCAGUGCGCACCUUCCUCUCCUCUUUCGACACAGUGCGCACCUUCCUCCUCUAUCGGUGCAGUGUGCACCUUCCUCUCCUCUCUUGACGCAGUGCGCACCUUCCUCCUCUCGAUGCAGUGCGCACCUUCCUUUCCUCCUCUUGACGCAGUACGUACAUUCCUCUCCUCUCUUGGUGCAGUGUGCACCUUCCUUUCCUCCUCUUGAUACAGUGCUACAUUCCUCUCCUCCUCGGUGCUUGUCUUUUCCACUUUUCCUUAUUCCUUUACACACAGCAUAUCCCCCAAAAUGUAUACUGAAAAUAAGCUAUGGUGAUUAUUGGAAGCAAAUUUACAUCGAAGGAGGUUAGAAUAAUGAUUUAAUCAGAGCUGGGCAGUCUUAAAUCUUAAAUUCCAGUUGUAUGUAAAUAUUCAAAAACAUUUAACCUACUGAUGCCUCAAUAAUAUAAUUUUAUUGCUAUCUACCCCACCUUUCUCUACCCUGAAGGGACUCAUUAUUAAGAUACAACAUGAAGAUAAAAUAUUAAUUAAUUAUAUCAGUAUUCAACAGGCUUUUAAACAUUAUUACAGUAAUUUAUAUAAGGCUGAACACAUAUCUCUAGAAGACAUUGAGAAUAAUUUAAUUCAGUCUGUUAUACCUGCAGCUUUGCUGCAUUGCUGGAGUUUAAUCGGUAGGGUUGUAUUUUAUUUUAGGCAGAGAAUCUUUGGGCACUGUCCCCUUUGUACCUAAGGAGGGAUUGUUCAUUGUUGGGCAAGUGUUAAAAUAUUUGUCACCAGGCAUUGGGCACCGUCCCUCUUCCCCUGGGUUUGUUACAGCACGAGUCUUGUGCUUCAUGUUCCAUGAGAUCUUCUCUGUUCAACUCCUGAAGAGAUUUUCCUUUCUUUCUCUGGCAGGUGACUUCUGAACAAGUUCUGCAAAGAACACAGCGUGAGAGCUUUGCCCGAGGAGUGCUCUAAGUCUAAAGUGACUUCAAGAUACACAGCAAUGACAACAAGAAAAAAUAAGUAGUAGAAAAAUAUAUUACAAGCUACAACCCUAUGCAGUUAAGAGGAGGAAAGAAGAUUGUGAUGAAAAAAAAAGAGGCUUGGAAAGCGAGCAGAAGGCUACAGCAAUACAAAGACUGUGCUGAUCGGGAGGUUAUAUCUGUGAACCCCUGGCAUAAUAUUUGAAUUAUAAAUAUAAAAGAAUGGCAAGUCCUCUACCUCCCUAUCCUAAAUCACGCACAGGGGAGAAGUUGCAUCAGUGUAUGGAAUGUGGGAAACAAUUUGAUGGAAAAGUUCUCUUUACUAUACAUGAACGGACCCACCCCGGGAGAAAAACCCCUAUAAAAGGACUGGAAAG
rnacentral:lncRNA from 1 species